rnacentral:rRNA from 1 species
CCUUGUCCUUGUUGCCAGCAGGCCCUUGUGGUGCUGGGGACUCACGGGAGACCGCCGGGGUCAACUCGGAGGAAGGUGGGGACGACGUCAAGUCAUCAUGCCCCUUAUGUCUUGGGCUGCACACNUGCUACAAUGGCCGGUACAAAGAGCUGCGAUACCGCGAGGUGGAGCGAAUCUCAAAAAGCCGGUCUCAGUUCGGAUUGGGGUCUGCAACUCGACCCCAUGAAGUCGGAGUCGCUANUAAUCGCAGAUCAGCACUGCUGCGGUGAAUACGUUCCCGGGCCUUGUACACACCGCCCGUCACGUCACAAAAGUCGGUAACACCCGAAGCCGGUGGCCCAACCCCUUGUGGGAGGGAGCUGUCGAAGGUGGGACUGGCNAUUGGGACAA